GGAAGGAUCAUUAACAAAUCAUUUGGUGGGGGGGGUUAGGGGAGGUUAGGGAGGGUUAGGGUAGGGUUUAAAUAUUCUACCUAUUCCCUACUAUGCCUCCCUCCCCAUUCAUAUUAACCCGGCCGCAAGGCUAGGUCAGUUUCCUGCGGCGUCUCUGGGGAUUUGGCAGGAGCGAUAGUUCUAGUCAAAGACCUGGGAUAGUGCAGGAGAUAUAUACACGCUUGAUUGUUUGACUGUAACUUGAGAUUUAAAGAAAAAAUAACUUUUAACAAUGGAUCUCUUGGCUCUUGCAACGAUGAAGAACGCAGUGAAAUGCGAAAAUUAAUGCGAUUUGCAUGAAUCUGUGAGUCAUCAAGUCUUUGAACGCACCUUGCACUCUUUGCGUAAGUAAAGAGUAUAUCUGUUUGAGAAUCAUUACAUUACAUCAUUUCCAAUUAGGGAUGGACGUGACUGCUCCUGCGAGGCUGGGUCUAUUAUGGAUUCUGUCCUUGCUGGUCAGUUUAAAGGUAGGAGAACUAUGGGCUAGACGGGCCUGUCUAGACAUUAUGUGAUAGAGGCAUUUGAUGUCUACUCAUAAUCAGUCUAGGUGGGAGAAGUGGCAGGAGACCUAGUGUCUCUAGUCACUUCUAACCUGUUUGGUACCAGUUUUGACAGUGGGGGGUGGGUUGGUAGUCUAUCUACCCUCCCUACCCCCACACCCUCUUUCUUUGAUCUCAAAUCAGAUAAGGCUACCCGCUGAACUUAAGCAUAUCAGUAAGCGGAGGAAAAGAAACUAACAAGGAUUCCCCUAGUAGCGGCGAGUGAAGCGGGAAGAGCUCAAAUUUAAAAUCUGGCAGGUUCUCCUGUCCGAAUUGUAAUUUAAAGAGGCGUUAUCUAGCACCUAUUGGAUAUUCAAGUCCCUUGGAAUAGGGCAUCAAAGAGGGUGAGAAUCCCGUUUGGGUAUCUGGUGGGUGUUUGUAUGAGGCGCUCUCAAAGAGUCGAGUUGUUUGGGAAUGCAGCUCAAAAUGGGUGGUAAAUCUCAUCUAAGGCUAAAUAAUGGCAAGAGACCGAUAGCGAACAAGUACCGUGAGGGAAAGAUGAAAAGCACCUUGAAAAGGGAGUUAAAUAGUGCGUGAAAUUGUUAAAAGGGAAACGAUUGAGAUCAGUAUUGCUGCGACUGGUUCAGUGGUCUAUGCCAGUUAAUGGUGUAGUCCAUGUAUUCCAGUCGCAGCAAGUUGGCAUCAAUUUGACUAGGCAGAUAAAGGUUGAUGGAAGGUGACGUUAUUCUUCGGAGUAGCGUUUUAUAGACGUUGACUGGCAUGUUUGGUUGGAUUGAGGAUAGCAGCUGUGUUCACCGGUUGAAUGACAAUUUGGUUGAUGGUGACUAGGGACAACUAAAGUUGACCUUGGUUCCAUUACUACAUUCGAUUUGACCGCGCGCAGGUUCUAAGGAUGCUGACGAAAUGGUCUUAAACGACCCGUCUUGAAACACGGACCAAGGAGUCUAACAUGUAUGCGAGUAUUUGGGUGGAAAACCCGAAUGCGGAAUGAAAGUGAAAAAUGGGAACCUCGACAGAGGCGCACCAUUAACCGACCUUGAUAUAUUUUGACGGGUUCGAGUAAGAGCAUACCUGUUGGGACCCGAAAGGUGGUGAACUAUGCCUGGAUAGGAUGAAGCCAGAGGAAACUCUGGUGGAGGUCCGUAGCCGUUCUGACGUGCAAAUCGAUGGUCAAAUCUGGGUAUAGGGGCGAAAGACUAAUCGAACCACCUAGUAGCUGGUUCCCUC
rnacentral:misc_RNA from 1 species